rnacentral:misc_RNA from 1 species
AAAGUCGUAACAAGGUUUCCGUAGGUGAACCUGCGGAAGGAUCAUUAUCGAAUAAACUUGGUUGGGUUGAUGCUGGCUCUUAGGAGCAUGUGCACGCUCACUCCAUUUUUAACCACCUGUGCACCUUGUGUAGAUCUGAACGAUUCUCGGGGAAACUCGGUUAGAGAAUUGCUGCGUGUAACUACCAGCUCUUCUUGUGUUCAGAUCUAUGUUUCUAUAUCCCUCCAUAAGAAUGUAUCAGAAUGUAAUCGAUAGGCGUUUCUGCCUUUAAAAUCAAAUACAACUUUCAACAACGGAUCUCUUGGCUCUC